rnacentral:sRNA from 1 species
UGAUGGAGUUACCGCCCCCAACACCGGAGCAAUUGCAGCAACAGGCAGAACAGGAAAAACGCUAUCGUAUGUCACAGGCCGCAAAUUCCAUCACUCCACUUCAAUAUGCUGUCGAUCUCAACAUGGCAACAGACACAGAGCAAUCGGCACUGAUCGCGUGGAAAAAAUAUACCGUGUUAUUAAACCGCGUAGACUGUUCGGC